UAUGUGCAAACAUAAAAGUAGUCUUUCCCUCCCUUUCUUCUCAACUUAGAGGAAUAUUCUAAUUAGUUCUUGCAGGCAGGAGAAGAAGGGGAAGAAAUUUGGAACAAGGGAAAUGUGUUACUGUUGACUUUGCAGUAGCCCUGUCAGAAAAAUGUACUUUUAAUACAUACCAUUUGGAAGCAAAGCCCCUUUUAAAAUGCUUCAGAACUCAUGUCCUUUUUAAUUGCCUGGAAUUCAUGGUGGCUGUGUGAGAAAGCCAUAAACAUAUACAAUCAUAAAAACACAUUUAGACAACCCAAACAGAAUCAGUGCCAUAUUAUUUUAGUUUAUUAUUCCUAGUGGAGUACAGAUUGGUCUUCCUACUUUGAUAUUUAUUUAUACCAAAGAACUACAAGAACAUAAAUGCCACUCUUGGGAUAAUCCUAAUGCUGGGGCUGAACAGAAUACACAUUGCAUCUGUCUCAUUUGCAGUAAAGUGAAGGCGUGUUUAGGUGUAGUCCUGCUAAUGAAGGACAAAGUUGAAGGUCAAAUGUAGCCUUCAAAAUGAAUGUGUCAUCAUGACGCUGAGAGAAAUGCAUUAUGAAGUUUUCUUAAAAUAUCAAAUAAUGAAGAAAGGGAAAAGGAAAAUGUAGCUCUUUGGUUUUAUUAUUCCUUUUUCUUUGAAGCCACUUAAGGAUUCUGCUCAAGACUUUAGUGCUCAUAUGAAAAAUUAAUGAUGGGUUUUUGCUAGACAGAAAGCCUUCUUAUUUUGCACAUGAUUAACAAAGAAAACUCAAUGCAGAAGUGAGAUACACAGCAGGGGGUGGUUCUCUCGAAGGCCAGCUCACAGCUUCACACCAGAACAUUUAUUGACAUGGGAAAAUACUCACUUUUAUCCAAAGACAGUUGAACAGAUAGGAUAUGUGCAGGGCUGUACAUAAGAAUAACAAGGAACAGAUAGUCAACAAAGGAAAAUGUCAACCAAAAUAAACAAACAGCCUAGCAGCGGGCUGACCCUGCACCAUGCCUGUGGGCUGUUUUGAGUCUACUGCAGUGCCAAGUGCAAUGUUAGUGCUCACUAGUUGUUGUCAGGAAGUAGGUUAUCAGCUGAAAGGCUGGAGGGUGGCUUCAGACACUCUCCCCAUAGCAGAAGAAAAGCCAAGGAAGUGUAGGCAGAAUGUAUAAGCCAGAUCUGCAUGCUGUUCACAUGCUAUAUUGGUUUGAUGCUCCUCACCUACAGAGAUCUCUUUCUGGGGGGCUGGGGUAUUUUUCUCACAGGUUUUUUCACACGUAACAUCACAGCAUAAUGCCAUGUGAGCUUGUCCAACUCUAAGCAGCCUGGUUUAACUCUGUUGUUCCUGUCUAUUCCUUUCAAUUUUUAAACCUUCUUUUUUUUUGUCCAGUCAGCUAACUUGGCGUAUCUUCUGGGGAUUCAGAAGGGCCAUCAGCUACCAGCACCCACAGGAGGAAAACCAGCCAAACAAAGGUAUAAUUUUUGCAAGUUUUAGUGGAAGUGCAGUGAGCUUUAUUUCUUUCAUUCAUUACUGGUAUAUAUUCAUGAUUUUCUCCCUAGUAAAGGAGGACCUUAUAAAUAUUUGUUAAAUACAUUGAUGCACUACAAUGAGUUGACUGGAGUUAUGAACCUUGGGUCAGACUUAGGGUUUCAGACAUCAAACAGGAAUAAAACAGUUUUCACCCUGGGUGAACUGGUCCAGAAAGCUUUUUUCCCUUUUCUUGUUAUGCAAGCAAAUGGAAUAUGGUCCCCUAAAAUACUAUAAUCAUGAACUACAAGCUAUGUUUAUCUAUAGGCUCAAAAAGGAAUUGUGAGCCUUGAAAGUGGCAUGUAUAAGUAUAUAUGAAAGGUGCCAAAUUAGCAUCAAAUAAACAAAAGUGAUGUUCCAGAAAGCUGAAUUCAUUAAAGCUUCAUUCCUUGUAGCAAUAACAGAAGUUUUCCAUGCUAUCUGGAGCACCCCUGGCUUUUGAGAAAAGGAGAUGUGGUGAAAGUUAGAGUUGGUAAGAACUGCAGAAGGAGGCAAGUGCAAAUGCAGCUUCAGAAAUGAACAAAAACAUCAAAAUCCGCAGAUUGUUAAGUAAAUUCAAGACUGAGAGAGGAUAAAAGAAAAAAAAAGAAAAUGGACCUGGAGCCUGAUAGGUUUUGGAUGAAGCUUUACAAGAGUUGCAAAGGAUGCCGUUGCAAUGCGGACCCAUCUGGACACACGAAACACAGGCUCGACUUGCUGCACAGCUGAAAAUGCAGUAUUUAGAGGUGGGAAUGUUCUGCGUGGCCCAAGCAUUAUUAAUGGCACUUUGUUUCAUAGCUUUGUAGUAUUUAAACUAUAUUGUUCCAGUUACUGAAGACAUUUUGUUUUUUGAGAAAUAUCUGUCUUCCCCAAAGUAAAACAUUAUAUUCCCAUUCAGCAUUUCUUUUCUAAGUUGCACUUGACUAUAGUGAUAGGUUUCCUUGAAAAGCCAUCAGUGAAUUUAUGGCACAAAUAGCUAUGUCUCUCCAGACUUUAUUAAUUCAGACAUGCAAAAUCUAAGCAUCUACGUGUUGCGGUUGUUCUGUCUGUUGCGCUGCUGCAAACCGAUAGCAUUUCACCAGAAAAGCUCUCGUGUCUGCAGCUAUCCUAUUUUCUCUCAUGUCACUCAAGCAAACUGCCUUGCAGCUCACCCGCACUGAGGUCGGAGCAGAGCCACAGGAGCUUGUAGAACCCGCUGGGGGCUGUCGUGCCAGGCACCCGCUCAGCCCCUGGGACCUGUGGGUGAGGAUGCGAGCAGAGCUUCCCAGCACUGCUGGGAGCCAAACAGGCUUUUGCCUGAGUGAGUUCUGGGGGAUGGGGCACUCAUUCAGAGGCACAAACUGCCUCAAUACUAAAUGUGUUCAGAAGAUGGAAAUUAGCAAUAUUACAAAUUCAGAAGGCAGCAGACGAGCACGUAACGUAUUGAAUAUGAGCUCACCCCUCUUUUUGACCAGCUGCUCCCAACACAGCAACCCCUCUGACCAAUGCCACUGUAGCCUUUGACCUUAUUCAUCAGAGAUAUUUUGAUGUACUGUGAGCAGUUUGGAACAGCAUCCAUAUGCUCAUUUAUGGGUUAACCCUAUCCUUAUUAGACUUGUACUUUCCAGACCAAAGUCAUGAAGGUUUGGUUGGCACACAGGGUUUUGCCCUCCCUUUCUGCUCCCUCAGCCACUGAAGUGAUCUGAAGUCAUCCUUUUCAACUGAAAUUUUUUAAGUGUUACCUUUAUCUCUAGUUGCCAGUGUCUUUAAGAGCUUAUCCCCAUACCUCUUACUGCCAUCUCUUGCUUCUGGAAAGCAAGGAGGCUUCCACUUCCUGCACCUGUUGCCAGCAUCACUGUGGUUUCCCAGCACUGAAGAACCAGUGUGUACUGAGCAAUACUGAUGUUAUACUGGGGUACCGAUGGGUGUAAGGAUGUGAUUAGUCAAUGCCACAAAGAUUUUGGAGGACAAAACAGAGGAGGAGGGAAGAGUAUUAUUUUCUUUGGCCUUCACCUUCUGCCUUCCCUUGACAUCUGCCCCACACAAUCUGCAGGCAAUCACAGUGAGCACUUCUUUCUCCUGCAGAGGCUCUGCUCCUUUUGGAAAAGGCUUCCACAAGGAUACCAGCUGCAUUAAAAUCUCACUUGGUCCACUUGUUUUUGUUACCAGCCCUACCUGAUUGCCCUACAAAAACAGAGAAGAAUAUUUUCCUUGCUCUCAAGAGUGAAGUCCUCCAUUAUCAUGUCAUGAAAGGAAAUAGACUUCGGUAGCUAAGGAAAAAUGCUGACUUUAAACCUGAGAUAAGGUUCUAUCAUUUACACUAAUGAGCUCACUGGUGGGGAAUUUGUAACAUUUUAUGAUAAAAAGCAGCUAUAGUCAGUAUUUGAUAGAAUACUCUGUUUUUAAAUUUAUUUAUUUAUUUAUUUUUGCUGAAAAUACACAUAACUACUAAUAAUGUUCCCAUCCAAAUCCACAGAGGAGUAAAUGCAGUGAGAAUUGCCCCAGACGAAGUUGAAGUAAUUGGUAAGUAACCCAUUAUUGUAGAGAGUUAUUCACUAACCACAAGUUGAUCUAAAUUCUGCUGGGAGGGCUGUAAACACAUUUGACUAGUUGAAUAAUGAGUUAGUUACUCAGAAGGAGGAGAGCUUAAUUAAAUAUUAAUGUUAGGAUCUUAAUUGCUGAUGACUUAUGGUUAAAAGUUGAGCCUCCAGAUCUGAUAGUCACAUCAUGCCAGAUUUUGUUUUUUGAUGGAAAUGUGCUCUGAGACUGUAUGUCCAGUAAGUGCUAUGAAAAUGCAGAGGUAUCCAAUAGCCUUUUCUGGUAUAUUCUGCCAGAGCACUGAUUAGCAGUAAUGAAAUCUAGUUACUGUAGGUUAGAAAGAAUCAGAAUGGACAAAUCCAGCUGGAGAGACCAACCCUGCUAUGAAACUGGUAUAAGUGGAUGCAAGCAAUAGGGUGACAGUAAGCAGAGGAAAAAGAGAUGUCUUCAGUUGAAGGGCUGGAAAACUCACAGUUUGGCUCCCAUUGUGAGAUGCGAAUAAAAUUCCAGCAAUUUUUCUCUUCCCUCUGAUUUUUUUCCAGCCUACCCCCUGAGUCUGAGAUGUUUAGACUUCAUAAUAUCCCUGGUUCAAUGCCUGGAAAAGCUGGCUAGAACUACAGUACAGUGCAGGGACUUCCUUGCAUUACCACUUGCCCCUGUGCACAGGCAAGAAAUAAGUCCUUACAAAAUUCCAUGUGCUGGUUGUGCCUCUGCAACCUUGUUUAUGGAUAGCUCUGCUUUUGCAGUGAUCUCUUCUCCUGAGGGGCAUGGGUUUGACUCAUCACUUUGAUAGCAAUUUGGGAAUGGGUAUUGGGUUGUAUUAGAAGCACUUAAUCUCAUAGUAGAAAUAGCGAAAAAGUAAAUAAUGAACAUGAAAAGUAGGAUAUGGGUUUGCUACUGUUGAGGAUGAAAGAACAGAUGAAUUGGAAGAAUGUAGUGGAUAGCAGAAAAAGGUUUGGGGAAAAUAAGAGGGAUAGAUGUUCUAUAGGCUUACUGACAUUUUUUUUUAACUCUGUGAGUCCUGUAAGGUGCUGGUAAUACAGUACAGAAAGACAAGCUGACAAAAAGAUUGGUCUGAGAGACUGAGAAAUGGCUGUGAUGCUGGUUUUGCAUGCAGGCAGGUAAUCACAACUACCAUCAUCUUUCAAGAAAACAUGUUUUUCACAAAAAUAUUGUCAAACUUGCAGCUCUUGUGCAUCUCUGUCUUCAUAUGGCUCUUAUUGCUCCAAGAUUUGAAUUUCUUAGUGCAUAAAAGAUUUUAUCUAAUGUCCUUUUCCUGUCUAGCUUCCCUCCGUGCUGUGCCCAUCACUCUGUAUCUAGUACAGAUGAAAUGCUGAAGUACUGCAACUUUUCUGUGAGAGGAGCAGCCACUAGAGGGGAGGAUAUACGCUGUGAAGUCCCCAUCAGAACCCUGUCACUGAGGCUUCCUCAAAGUGUCUGACAAGAAAGACUGGUCAAGCUCCUGAUGCCAGCAUCUUUGCUUGCUUAAGGAAGUUUUUGCACCUAAAAGAAAAGGUGAGUAACUUUCAUGACAUCAGUAAUAC